UACGUAGGGUGCGAGCGUUAAUCGGAAUUACUGGGCGUAAAGCGUGCGUAGACGGCUAUCUAAGUCGGGUGUGAAAGCCCCGGGCUCAACCUGGGAAUUGCAUUCGAGACUGAAUAGCUAGGGUGCGGUAGAGGGAAGCGGAAUUUCCGGUGUAGCGGUGAAAUGCGUAGAUAUCGGAAGGAACAUCAGUGGCGAAAGCGGCUUCCUGGACCAGCACCGACGUUCAGGCACGAAAGCGUGGGGAGAAAACAGG
rnacentral:rRNA from 1 species